rnacentral:rRNA from 1 species
GAUGAACGCUGGCGGCGUGCCUAAUACAUGCAAGUCGAGCGAACGGACGAGAAGCUUGCUUCUCUGAUGUUAGCGGCGGACGGGUGAGUAACACGUGGAUAACCUACCUAUAAGACUGGGAUAACUUCGGGAAACCGGAGCUAAUACCGGAUAAUAUUUUGAACCGCAUGGUUCAAAAGUGAAAGACGGUCUUGCUGCCACUUAUAGAUGGAUCCGCGCUGCAUUAGCUAGUUGGUAAGGUAACGGCUUACCAAGGCAACGAUGCAUAGCCGACCUGAGAGGGUGAUCGGCCACACUGGAACUGAGACACGGUCCAGACUCCUACGGGAGGCAGCAGUAGGGAAUCGUCCGCAAUGGGCGAAAGCCUGACGGAGCAACGCCGCGUGAGUGAUGAAGGUCUUCGGAUCGUAAAACUCUGUUAUUAGGGAAGAACAUAUGUGUAAGUAACUGUGCACAUCUUGACGGUAACUAAUCAGAAAGCCACGGCUAACUACGUG